rnacentral:misc_RNA from 1 species
CGCACAUUGCGCCCGCCAGCAUUCUGGCGGGCAUGCCUGUUCGAGCGUCAUUUCAACCCUCAAGCCCAGCUUGGUGUUGGGAUCUGCGUGCAUUCGCAGUCCCCAAAUUGAUUGGCGGUCACGUCGAGCUUCCAUAGCGUAGUAAUUUACACCUCGUUACUGGUAAUCGUCGCGGCCACGCCGUUAAACCCCAACUUCUGAAUGUUGACCUCGGAUCAGGUAGGAAUACCCGCUGAACUUAA